rnacentral:rRNA from 1 species
UACGGGGGGGGCAAGCGUUACUCGGAAUUACUGGGCGUAAAGCGUGCGUAGGUGGUUUGUUAAGUCUGAUGUGAAAGCCCUGGGCUCAACCUGGGAAUUGCAUUGGAUACUGGCAGGCUAGAGUGCGGUAGAGGAUGGCGGAAUUCCCGGUGUAGCAGUGAAAUGCGUAGAGAUCGGGAGGAACAUCUGUGGCGAAGGCGGCCAUCUGGACCAGCACUGACACUGAGGCACGAAAGCGUGGGGAGCAAACAGG